rnacentral:rRNA from 1 species
GAGGUAUCAGAAGUGCGAAUGCUGACAUAAGUAACGAUAAAGCGGGUGAAAAGCCCGCUCGCCGGAAGACCAAGGGUUCCUGUCCAACGUUAAUCGGGGCAGGGUGAGUCGACCCCUAAGGCGAGGCCGAAAGGCGUAGUCGAUGGGAAACGGGUUAAUAUUCCCGUACUUGGUGUUACUGCGAAGGGGGGACGGAGAAGGCUAUGUUGGCCGGGCGACGGUUGUCCCGGUUUAAGCGUGUAGGUGUGUGUUCCAGGUAAAUCCGGUUCACUUUAACACUGAGGCGUGAUGACGAGGCACUACGGUGCUGAAGCAACAAAUGCCCUGCUUCCAGGAAAAGCCUCUAAGCAUCAGGUAACAUCAAAUCGUACCCCAAACCGACACAGGUGGUCAGGUAGAGAAUACCAAGGCGCUUGAGAGAACUCGGGUGAAGGAACUAGGCAAAAUGGUGCCGUAACUUCGGGAGAAGGCACGCUGACACGUAGGUGAAGUGAUUUACUCAUGGAGCUGAAGUCAGUCGAAGAUACCAGCUGGCUGCAACUGUUUAUUAAAAACACAGCACUGUGCAAACACGAAAGUGGACGUAUACGGUGUGACGCCUGCCCGGUGCCGGAAGGUUAAUUGAUGGGGUCAGCGCAAGCGAAGCUCCUGAUCGAAGCCCCGGUAAACGGCGGCCGUAACUAUAACGGUCCUAAGGUAGCGAAAUUCCUUGUCGGGUAAGUUCCGACCUGCACGAAUGGCGUAAUGAUGGCCAGGCUGUCUCCACCCGAGACUCAGUGAAAUUGAACUCGCUGUGAAGAUGCAGUGUACCCGCGGCAAGACGGAAAGACCCCGUGAACCUUUACUAUAGCUUGACACUGAACAUUGAGCCUUGAUGUGUAGGAUAGGUGGGAGGCUUUGAAGUGUGGACGCCAGUCUGCAUGGAGCCGACCUUGAAAUACCACCCUUUAAUGUUUGAUGUUCUAACGUGGACCCGUGAUCCGGGUUGCGGACAGUGUCUGGUGGGUAGUUUGACUGGGGCGGUCUCCUCCUAAAGAGUAACGGAGGAGCACGAAGGUUGGCUAAUCCUGGUCGGACAUCAGGAGGUUAGUGCAAUGGCAUAAGCCAGCUUGACUGCGAGCGUGACGGCGCGAGCAGGUGCGAAAGCAGGUCAUAGUGAUCCGGUGGUUCUGAAUGGAAGGGCCAUCGCUCAACGGAUAAAAGGUACUCCGGGGAUAACAGGCUGAUACCGCCCAAGAGUUCAUAUCGACGGCGGUGUUUGGCACCUCGAUGUCGGCUCAUCACAUCCUGGGGCUGAAGUAGGUCCCAAGGGUAUGGCUGUUCGCCAUUUAAAGUGGUACGCGAGCUGGGUUUAGAACGUCGUGAGACAGUUCGGUCCCUAUCUGCCGUGGGCGCUGGAGAACUGAGGGGGGCUGCUCCUAGUACGAGAGGACCGGAGUGGACGCAUCACUGGUGUUCGGGUUGUCAUGCCAAUGGCACUGCCCGGUAGCUAAAUGCGGAAGAGAUAAGUGCUGAAAGCAUCUAAGCACGAAACUUGCCCCGA